GGCCCCGUCGUCUAGCGGCCCAGGACGCCGCCCUCUCAAGGCGGUAGCGCCGGUUCGAAUCCGGUCGGGGCUACGA
rnacentral:tRNA from 2 species